GGGAUCGAACCUACACCUGGGAGAUCAAAACCCCCUGUAAUCCCAUUUUACUACUCUCU
rnacentral:tRNA from 1 species